rnacentral:rRNA from 1 species
GACGAACGCUGGCGGCGUGCUUAACACAUGCAAGUCGUACGGUAAGGCCCUUUCGUUGGUACACGAGUGGCGAACGGGUGCGUAACACGUGAGUAACCUGCCCACAACUUUGGGACAACGCUAGGAAACUGGUGCUAAUACUGGAUAUGUGCCCCUGCUGCAUGGGGGGGGUUGGAAAGCUCCGGCGGUUGUGGAUGGACUCGCUGCCUAUCAGCUUGUUGGUGGGGUAGUGGCCUACCAAGGCGGCGACGGGUAGCCGGCCUGAGAGGGUGACCGGCCACAUUGGGACUGAGAUACGGCCGAGACUCCUACGGGAGGCAGAAGUGGGGAAUAUUGCAGAAUGGGCGCAAGCCUGAUGCAGCAACGCCGCGUGCGGGAUGACGGCCUUAGGGUUGUAAACCGAUUUCAGAAGGGACGAAGCUUUUUGUGACGGUACCUGCAGAAGAAGCACCGGCUAACUACGUG